rnacentral:tRNA from 1 species
UCUCUGGUGGCUCAGAGGUAGAGAAUCUGCCUGCAGUGCAGGAGGCCUGGGUUUGAUCCCUGGGUUGGGAA